rnacentral:rRNA from 1 species
UAUCUCUGUAGAGUCUGCAUAUCAAUAAGCGGAGGAAAAGAAACUAACAAGGAUUCCCCUAGUAACGGCGAGUGAAGCGGGAAGAGCUCAAAUUUGAAAUCUUCAAGGUUUGACCUUGACGAAUUGUAGUUUAAAGAAGUGUUUUCGGUUAGAGGAGUAGUAAAAGUUCUUUGGAAUAGGACAUCAUAGAGGGUGAGAAUCCCGUAUUUGACUAUUCUUUCUAGCUUUGUGAUACACUUUCAAAGAGUCGGAUUGUUUGGGAAUGCAGUCCAAAAUGGGUGGUAAAUUUCAUCUAAAGCUAAAUAUUGGCGAGAGACCGAUAGCGAACAAGUACCGUGAGGGAAAGAUGAAAAGAACUUUGAAAAGAGAGUUAAACAGGUACGUGAAAUUGUCAAAAGGGAAGCGUUUGACACCAGUGUUGUUUUUCCGAAAAUCAAUUAAAAAUUGAUUCAUGCCAGGUUGUAUUGACCUUAUCAGCUUGCAAUUUGGUUUUGGGUCUCUUUUUGAUGCACUUUUCGGUUAACAAGUCAACAUCAAUUUCCUUUGCUGUAAAAAGGUAAGAGGAAGGUGGCUUCAAUUUCGGUUGAAGUGUUUAUAGCCUUUUAUCUCUGCAGUCGGGGAGAUUGAGGUCUGCAGCGUAGAUCCUUCGGGGCUAGAUACAUUUAUGCUAAGUUAUAGCUUUUCAUAGACAACUUGUUGACUAUGUUUAGUCAUGUAGCUUACUCGUAAGUGCUAUUUUACCUACGCUUAGGAUGUUGAAGACUCUACAGAGAUA